rnacentral:rRNA from 1 species
CCUACGGGUGGCAGCAGUGGGGAAUAUUGGACAAUGGGCGAAAGCCUGAUCCAGCAAUGCCGCGUGAGUGAUGAAGGCCUUAGGGUUGUAAAGCUCUUUUACCAGGGAUGAUAAUGACAGUACCUGGAGAAUAAGCUCCGGCUAACUCCGUGCCAGCAGCCGCGGUAAUACGGAGGGAGCUAGCGUUGUUCGGAAUUACUGGGCGUAAAGCGCACGUAGGCGGCCAUUCAAGUCAGAGGUGAAAGCCCGGGGCUCAACCCCGGAACUGCCUUUGAAACUAGAUGGCUUGAAUCUUGGAGAGGCGAGUGGAAUUCCGAGUGUAGAGGUGAAAUUCGUAGAUAUUCGGAAGAACACCAGUGGCGAAGGCGACUCGCUGGACAAGUAUUGACGCUGAGGUGCGAAAGCGUGGGGAGCAAACAGGAUUAGAUACCCCAGUAGUC